AAGUAGGUACGCGGAAAUAGCGAUUUACGGAGCCGAAUUUUGUGCUAAAAUUCUGUGACUCGUUUUUUUGACGUUUUUUUUAGGUAGCCUAAGGCAAACGUAUUUUUGAGAAGUUCCUUUUCGGAAACAUAUAUAAACAUAGUAUAUUUUUGGAAAGAAGAAGAGUUAAGCUUGUUUUUUAUGUUAUUUUUACGUACAGUUGUCUUACCAUUUUUUGGAGCAUUUGGCUCAUGAAAAAUAGGUUGGUGUUUACAUGUCAAAUUCUUGUCGAAGGACUCUUUAUUCCGCUUUUUUGAUUCUUUAAAUAAGUUUUUACAUGCAUUUUCUUUGCACAUACCAAAUUUUAUUGAAAAAUAUUGUGUAGCAGAUAGUUAAAUCAGUUUAGCACUUUUAGUACCUAAUUUCUGUUUUUCCGAUUUUUUUUUAGCGGAUUUCCCGUCUCAUUAUUUUGAGUAGGGUUAGGCAAACGAUUUUUUGUUGGUUUUUUUUACAGAAACGUAUAUACACAUAGUAUAUUUUCAGAAAGAAGAAGAGUUAGGCUUGUUUUUUGUGUUAUUUUUUUACAUGAUUGUCAUACCUUUUUUUUGACUAUUUUGCUCAUGAAAAUUAUGUUGAUGUUUACUUGUUCAAUUAUUGUUGAAGGAAUCUAUAUUCCGCUUUUUUGAUUUUUUAAAUAAGUUUCUACAUGCAUUUCUUUUGCACCUGCCAAAUUUCAUGAAAAAAUAUUAUGUAGCAAUUAGUUAAUUCAGUUAAACACUUUUGGUACCUAAUUUCUGUUUUCAAAAAUAGCCGAGGUGGGGCUGAGGGGAAGAGAGUUUUUUUUCUUCUUAAAAAAUGUUUAUUGCGUAUUGUUUCACUUAGAUUGUUAGUAAUUAAAAAAAUGAAUAAUAUAAAUGAACUGGGUAAUCAAACAGAUACUUCAUCGUCAUCUGAUGCAGUUGUUUUAUCAACAUCUGCCAGUGGCAUAUUUUUUCAGAUCUGUAUAGAGUUAAUGUCGAAAUCAAAGUUAUUUUGGUUAAUUUUUUUACCUUUAGCUUUGUCACCAUCUGCUAUGGUUGUCCAAUCAACUCAGCCUUUCACUGGUAAGUUUGUAUAUUGCAAUUUCGGUCAUGUUUAUAUAAGUAGAAAUUUAAUGUAUGCUUUGGUUUAAUUCAUAUGUUUUUUAUCUCAAGUCAUUUCUUAAACAACUGUGAUUAGUAAAUUUAAAAGCUAUUAUUUUUUAACUUGUGAAAGAUUUAUUGCCAAUAUCUUUUUUUUUUGUAGAUAGCAUCCAUUUUGUUUUUAAUUUUAGUUGUAGUUCCAUCUAUGUAUUGAUUUAAUCCCAUUUUCAACUUUUUUCGUUUAUUUUUAUAUUGCAUCUUUUCGUAAUAUUAGUUGCAUCUACAUCCUUCUUUUUUGCUAUUAAUUACACCUUUUUUACAUUAAGCUUUAUCGACACCUACUGUGGAUGUCGAAAUCAUUUCUUUUGUUAUGGCUAUACUAUAGAUUUAAUAUCAAACUCAAUUUUAUUUUUGUUUACAGCUUUUUUUUUACUUUUAGUUUCAUCAACAUCUACCACAUUUAGAAAGUUUAAAAGCUAUUUCUUUGUUCACUUUGUAUGUAAUAUGUGUAUGUAAGGCCAAUUUCUAAUACUUUUUCACUUGGUUACACCUUUUUUUAAUCUAUAUCUGCCACAGUUACUAAGUUUAAAAGCUAUUACUUUUUAAUCUCUGUAAUAAUUUAAUGCCUAAAUCAAAUAUUUUUUUGGUUGAGUACAUCCUUUUCACAAAUAGUAAGUUUAAAAACUAAAUAUUUUUCAGCAGUGUUUUGAUUUUUCUAAAAAAGUCAUUUAUUUUGUUAAUUACAUUUUUUUUUUGAUUUUUAGCUGCAUCUACAUCUGCUUUGGUCGGGUUUAUAUAAAAUGCUUCAUAAUGCUUUGAAAUCUUAACUAUCAUUGAAAAGAUGAAUUUAUACAAACACUUAUCUGCAAAACAACUUGAAGAUUUAGAUGAUGUGAUGUCUGAAAGAAUUGCUGGCAGAAAACUCUGUCAUGAAUGGUAUGAUACUGACUCAUCAAAGUCUAUCAUUUAUGAUGGUAGACUAGAAAAAGCAAAAGACAAAAUGAUAGAAUUUACACUAUUUCUCACUGAAAACAAGAUAAAUUUUUUUUGAUAGAUGGCUCUGGCUUACCUUCACAUGGUGUCUAUCAUUAAAAAUGAUUUAUUUAGUUCAUAAAUGGAAUUCAAAACAUAAAUCAAUGCAAGCCACAAAACUUGCUGUAUCUAUUUGCAGUCUUGCAACAUGGUAUUGGGCGGAGAGGGGGCGGCUUGCACCCCCUUUUAUGAAGGCAAUUUAUACACCACUGUAACAUGGUAUUGGGAGGAAGGGGGGCGGCUUACACCCCCUUCCAUGAAGUCAAUUUAUACACCACUAGUUACUAUUUUUCCAAGUAUCGAAAUAUAUUUUUUAUUUUUUAUACUAAAAUUAAUUGUUUUAGUAAAGAUUGAAAUAUUUAAAAGAAUAAAAUUUUGAUAGGGUGUGUUAAACCUUAUUCAAAACCCAACACCCGACUUUGAGAUAGACUUGUAAUAUUCACUAGUGAUGUGGAAUAAAAUAAUAACAAUUUUUUGUAUAUA
rnacentral:lncRNA from 1 species